UCGCGCACGGCAAAAUCGAGUGCAGGCUGGCUUUACUGUCUUUUCCGAAGAGGCGGCUAUCUGUACCCGUGUAGGUUAGGGCCACUGACAUAAAAAAAAGUUAUGGAACACUUUUAGUAUUCAAGAUGCUGCGCAUGAACCGACUAAUAGCUUACGAGAGAACGGAAAACUUAUUGGUAGGGAAAAUUAAAGUAAGCAUGCAGAAACCUGCGUCGUAUCUCAAAAGAAAAAAAACAAACACUUCCCUAGGCGGGGCUCCCUAGUUCCGUCCUACCGCAUGAAGCUCAUAUCGAAACUGAUCAAAUCCCAGAAUACAGCUGAGGAGUUGUCUGGAAAAUGGGUCCGCUGCUCAUUCAUUACAGACAGACAGCUCUGUAGAAACACAUCAGGCUCGGAUUUAUCUCAGACAUGAAGAGGACGCAUUCAGUCAUGAUGGGAACUGCAUGCAGCGACUCUUCACCUUCGCCGAAUCAGAGUUCUAGUGAACCUGUCAUCCCUCUUCCUUUGGACAUAUUGGAGGAAAUCUUCCUAAAUCUGCCCCCCCAACACGUGGUGUGUGUGUGUCGAUUAGUGUGCCGCCAGUGGAAAGAUGUGGCCGACAGCGAGUCUUUUUGGAGAGAAAGAUGUAGAAGAGAGGGAUAUCAACUCCGUGAUCCUUCCAAAGUACCCAGCAGCUGGAGGUUGUUUUACUUCUUGUGCAAGAAGAGGAGAAAUCUCAUAAAGAAUCCAAGAGCAGAAGAUGAAUUUCAGGGUUGGAGAAUCCUGAAGAACGGUGGAGAUAAGUGGAAAAUAGAGGGAUCUAUGGUAAAACAUUCAAAUCCAGCAGUCCAGAAAAAUUUUGUCACCUCUUAUGGUUGGUGCACAAAAGAGCAGGUGAUUAAUUUGAUGGAAGAAGGUUACAACCCAUCAUUUAUGGAUGAGUUCCAGCCACACAUCCGGAUAUCUGACUGGUAUGCACCCCGCUGGGAUUGUGGAAGCAUCUAUAAGAUUUGUGUGCAGUUACUAAAUCACAAGCAAGACAUUCUCCAGGAAUUUCGUCCUGAGCCCAUUUCCUUUCCUCAGUGGAAUGAUCAGCAGUGGAAUCAAAUGGUGCAUGUCUUCAAGGACUAUGGACCAGGAGUGAGAUAUGUCCGUUUUAUUCAUGGUGGCAAAGACACAAAGUGGUGGGCUGGAUGGUUUGGCAUUCGUGUAACAGAAAGCUGUGUUGAAGUUUGUCCAGCAUUGGACAACUAGCUUAUUGAUGCAACUAUGUUAGGAAGACCACUUAGAUCUAAAAUCAACCAAGGAUUGCUUUUACUUGUUUGUAGAUUUCUACAUCUGUUACUCUAGAACUAGACACACUGACGUACUGCUGAACUAUGUCAACUUACUUAAUCAAAAUCCAUUAGUCAAUUAAACAAUCCUGCCUCACUUACUAACACAAACAAUGCAAUAUAAAUAGUUGCAAUUGCUUCAAAACGGUUUAAAUGUAUGUAUCUUACCUGUUCUGGAAGACAACACCACUGCCUUUAUUCCUCUUCUAGGCUAAUUUGCACAUUUAUUUUCUACCAACUGCUAUGUCUUAAAUACAACCAUCAGCUUUUGCUGAGAUGUUAGCUGAAUAUGUAUUCUCGUUAUGAUGCCUUUAUGUAUGUGGUAUUACGAUUUAAGAGAAAUGUCAAACUUUGCACUUUCUAUAAAUGCAUAUUCUUGAUUUGCAAAUAACAGCCUCAUUUUUAUGCAGCUGUCAAAGUGACGUCCCUUUAAACAUACGUAAUGUUAAUACUGCAAUUUGAAGUUAUGUAUUUAUUGUUGAAGUAUUUGUCUUUGGACAGUCAUGAAUAUUUUUACUACAUGUCCUUGUUAAAUGUGGCCCAAGUUCACACUUGAUCAAAAGAGCAAGUUUGCAUGUCACUGCAAUGUUAAAUAGAUAUUACUUUUGAAACCUACUUGUGUGUAAAGGAUUCAUAAUCACAUUUUUUGUGGCAGCAUCAUAUGACAAUAUGAUCAAGCAGAGUGUUCAUAAAAUCUUCCGAUUCAAUAAAAGGUUUUGCUAUAUUGAA